rnacentral:rRNA from 1 species
GCAGCAGUGGGGAAUAUUGCACAAUGGGCGCAAGCCUGAUGCAGCCAUGCCGCGUGUGUGAAGAAGGCCUUCGGGUUGUAAAGCACUUUCAGCGGGGAGGAAGGCGUUAAGGUUAAUAACCUUGGCGAUUGACGUUACCCGCAGAAGAAGCACCGGCUAACUCCGUGCCAGCAGCCGCGGUAAUACGGAGGGUGCAAGCGUUAAUCGGAAUUACUGGGCGUAAAGCGCACGCAGGCGGUCUGUCAAG